GGUGACAUAGCCAAGUGGUAAGGCCCCGGUCUGCAACACCGUCAUCGCCGGUUCAAAUCCGGCUGUCACCUCUA
rnacentral:tRNA from 1 species